rnacentral:lncRNA from 1 species
CCUUGCUUUCAAAACUGUCUACUUUUUUGCUCAAAACAAUGAUGGAUGGAUGGAUAGGUCUUCAUUUGACUCACUACCUGAAAAAUCAGCUUCUCAUGUGAUUUCCCCAAAGCAGAAUUAACUCACAUAAUUUUGUGUCACAUACCAGGGCUCUUCCUUGCAUAAAAAACAGUAAGAUAUCACCAAACUCUGGCCUGAAAGUUCUUCUAGGAUAUCUUGUGGUAUCACCAUUCCUAGGUGCAUGGUAGUCAUAAGUGACUUCAUCAGCCAAAUAUGAAACUGGUUCGAUACUGCCCCUGUAGGAGUCAAAUUCUUAUGCAUUUACAACUUAAUAAAUUACCAUUCAGGGUUGUAUUAGCAAGUUUGCUUUGUUCCAGCCCUUUUAUAGUUGAGACUCCCAGAUUUCUGUUUCAGGUUGGAAUUGGCAAAUGAACUUUUCAAAGCAUUUCAUCCUCACAAGUCACAUCUUGUCAUCUUUCAUAUCCACAUGAGACACCAAGCCCUAUUUCACUCUUGUUUAAAUUUUAUUAUCAUUGUUAUUAGGAAUAAACCAAUAGAAAUAGGAUUACAAAGGGAAAGGUUCAGGAUGAAUAACUUCUUCCUUAUAAAUUCAAACACAGGUGCACACACACAUGCUGGUCUGUGUGAGUUACUUCCUCCCCACAUUCUGUCCUCCUGCACAAACAGUUAUACAAAACAGUCCGCACAACAAUGUGAGCAGCUGGUACCACAACCUGAGCAAAGGACCCCAGUUGUGUCAAGUCUCAGGCUGACUCUUGGUCGAGAUGACCAGCUUCUCCACGCUAAGAGUACUUGUGGUUUCAUCCUCUUCAUUUGACCCAAAAUAUCCCGGGAGGUCCAGCAUCCUCUGCUCGGCUUCAGUGAGGCCGAAUGAUGUAUUGUCGUAGAAGGCGAACUCGGGGUGCGCGGGAAGCUCUGGCACUUGUCUUUCCGACAUUGAGAAGGGCUCAGAGGACUGACCCUCUGGUAGCUAUCUUUGGGGGCAGUGGGGAGGGCUGCUUCCUUGAGACACUCCUGUGACUGGGGGACGGUCCCCGCCGAGCUCUGUGAGGCUCUGUUCUCUCGCCUCCUGCCACCAAUCCCGCCUGACGAUCCCCUAGGUCUGGCUUCCUGGUGGGCUGCCCCAAGGUGUAGGAUUUAGGGAGGGGGCUUAGUGGACCAGCGGUUCCACCUGCCCCUUGGAAAUGGUCCAGUUUCUCAGGAAGCGCGGCAGCACCCCGACUCUGAGGCCUGAACCUGUCUUCUGCCUGGUCCCAGGUCCGCGUCCUAGAACUGUAGGCGGGGCCUGCCGUGGGGUCAGGGUGACAUGCUCCUCUCCCUGAAGGGCCGCGCCUGCUUGGUCUCGUGGAAACUGGCUGUCCUCCGGAAGUGGGAACUCCUGGGGUGGCUCCGCUCCGACAGCCCCCCUCUGCUGCCCACGUGCCUCAUCUGGGAUUUGCGGAUCACGGUCUGGCUGGGGCUCACGGCACAAGUGGCCUGCGAGACCCCGACAUCCAGCCUGGAGGGAGGCCUCUCCCCGGCGCUGACCGCGGGCUGGUCCAGAAACGGGGAUUUGAUCCUGAACUUGUUUGCGGCAGCUUCUUCCGGGUUCUCCAAGUCUAAGAGGGCGACGGCGGCGGCGGCGGCGUCGAUGGCCGUGUCUGUCAGGGGGCUCUGAGACACGUGGUACACCUUGGUGGUUUCUGUCAGGCCUUUCUUUUUCAUCUCCUUCAGCUGCUGCUGGGCAAGGCGGUAGCUGAACAGCGGUGGGAUUAUCUUCUGCGCGUUGGACUGGAAGCUGUCACUGCCGGAAGCGUCGUCCUCGGGAGUGGCCGGCACGCUGCGCCUGUAGGUCAGAGGGAUGCCCAUGUCCCCCGGGCCCCCCACAGGCCCGUCACCCCCAUCCGAGAAGCUCCCGCGCUGCUGGCUCAGCUCGCAGAUGUUCUCCUCAUCUGAGUUCUUCCGGAAGCUGGGCGAGUGGAGGGAGUUGUGCCGAGCGGGGCUGCGGGGAGGGAAGGGGCGGCCGGAUCCGGGCGCACUGCCGGGCCCCGGCGGAGCCACCGGGAGCCCUCGCGGCUCAGCAGCGCCCGCCGGGUCGCGGAAGGCUCUUCUUACCUCUCGGGACUGGUGGGCGCAGCAGCCCGGGCCGGGGCGAGCGAGGCGACGAGAAGGGUGGCAGGAAGGAGGCCUCAGGGGCCGCGAGGCAGGGCGUCGAGCAUCCCGCGUCCCAGGACUGCGCGCCCUGGACAGCAGCGCCGGGUUCCCGCAGCCCCGCCCGGGCCCGCCCCGAAGGCGCGAGGAGGGCGGCACCCGGAGGGCCGCACCCGGAGGGCGGGGGACCUUGGCGAGCUGCCACGUCUGCCCCCGCCCUCUCUGGGCUGCGCAUCCUUUCCUGCCCGCGCCGGGCGAGCGCGCUGCUGGACGGAAACCCGGCAGGAAACGCUCCUGGCUGGCCAGGGCCUGCGGGAAGCGGGUGCGGAGCCCCGAGCGCGCACACACCCGCACCUCAGGCUGGACCUGAAUUUUAAGGACGAGCCAGCAGUCUCCCACCAGUUCAAAUUCAGUCACUUCCCCAGCGUCAUUUUCUUAAUGGGGUAACACAAAAGUCAGUCGUUGAAGUGCAUAACUGGUGGGUUUGUAAACUUGGUUUCCCAAAUGUCAUCGAAGAGUUUCAAAAGGAAGCAAUUCAGGUAAAGUGCAUCUUCGUUUUCUUAGCAGCCAGAAAUGGUUGUUCAAUAAAUCAAAAAGAACAUUUAAAAACUCUAAUCCGCAAGUGUUAAAGUUGUCUUCUUAAAAGAACACAAGAGGAUGGAGUUCACCUUAAGAGCUGUCAUUUUCGAGUCCACUGUGAAGUGCAAUACCUUCACCAUUUGCUUUUCUUUUACACAAAAUAACCACUUGACAGACAAAACUAACGUGUGGUAGUAGAAAUCAGAGCACGGUGGUGGCCUCUGGGGAGCAGGUGAUGGGAAAGAGGCACCAAGGACCUCUUGGGAAGACAGAUAUCUUCUAUUGUUUGGUGUGCGAUUUACAUGGAUUUUUUAUGCAUUUGUCAAAACUCAUCCAACUUAAGAUCUGUGCAUUUCACUGUGUAAAUUUUACCUCCAUUUUUUUAGUUUUAAAGAUUUUUAUUUUUCCUUUUUCUCCCCAAAGCCCCCAGUACAUAGUUGUGUAUUUUUAGUUGUGGUCCUUCUAGUUGUGGCAUGUGGGACGCUGCCUCAGCGUGGCUUGAUGAGCGGUGCCAUGUCCGUGCCCAGGAUUCAAACUGGCGAAACCCUGGGCCACCGAAGCAGAGUGCACGAACUUAACCACUCUGCCACGGGGCCAGCCCCUACCUCAAUUUUUAAAACAAAAAAAUACAGCAUUUGCAGGUCUUUGAAUCUAACUUAAUCUUUUAAAAGAUAGCACAAUUAUUCAAUUAUCAGUUUACCAGAGGUACUAAACUUGCUAAGUAUUUAUCUUGUCAAAUAACUAAUUCUAGCAGUAUGCAUUUAAUCUACCCAAAGUUUCAAAAGAGGCUUUAAAGUCAUUAUCCACUUUCACUACCAACAGAACUAUCUAGUCCAAUAUCCAUUCAUCAGCUCAAAUUGGGAUUCCUUUUCAAAUGCCACAGUCCCUGGCAUUUUCAGUUUUAAAAGCAAAAGCUCAAUGCAAAGAGUGGGCUUUGGAGUUAGAUACAGCUGAGAUUAAUUCCAGCCCUGCCUCUGUAACCUUGGGCAAAUUACUUAAUCCCUCCUUUCCUUCACUAUAAAAGGCAUAUAAUAAUGGUUAUAUUGAAGUUUUCUGGUGACUGGGUGAAACAGUCAGAAAGCAACUUGCUCUGCGUUAAUCUUUCAAAGACACUCUCUCCCCAGGACCUCAAUCCAGGUACAAGUGGCUGGUUAACGUGCUUGGUCAUUUCUUAAAUAACAGCUUUGGUCAUUGUUGCCUUCAUUAGAAUUCUCACCAAACUGUAUUACUGUCUUUAUUGGACAGUUAAAACAGUUUAAUCUUUUCUAAAAGAAGGCACAUAGACUUGAAGGGAAAAAAAGCUUUCAAAAGGACAGCGGUAUGUUCUUGUCAGUAUUGAACUAAAGCUGGCUGUCUAGAUAUCCUGAAUUCUCUUUAUGGGUCAGUGACUGGUCUAAUGAUCUUGUGCAAAUUGUGUGAAAAUUGUUCACUAUCUCAAUAACAUCCUUUAUACAAAUGGAGAGAUCUUGUAUUUCCCUAGAUAAUACCCUGAGAGAAAAGCUUUAACUGACUCCUGAUUAUCAGGGCACAAGGAAGGACACGAAUUACCCAGUUUUCACACUGUAAUAACAAGAUCUUACAUGUGUGUUAACCUGACUUUUCUGGAGUGCUUCCCACAUCAUGGAUGUGGCCUGUGUCAUGGAAUUUGAAUAAGAUAGUGUAUCUCAGACAGGCUGAGCCCUGACAAGUCUGGUUGAGAAGCCCCUUGGGAAGAAGGGUAAAGGACUGAUUUAGGUUUGUGAGUCAACUCUGGCACAUAUAAUCCAAAAUCGCUCCAUUCAGUUAGUACUUAACCAGGAUCUACCUUGUACAAUCACUGACUUAGGAGUGGGAAUUCAAAAGUUGUGUCAUAUGAAAGUCCUUGAACUCAAAGAAAUCCAAUUUCUCUAUUUUAUUACGGCAUCAAGACAACAAAUAGAGAGCAAGAUAAAACACAGUCAAGUAUAUGAGACGGACAGUAACUCUUAGGGAGUUUAGAAAUAGAGCUGUGUACUGGAAACAGAUUUUUCUAGAGCAGGUGGGAUUGAGCAAAGCAUGAUUUUGAUUAGUGGGGGUAGGGGUGUGAGUGGGAAGAAGGAACGAUGGGAAGUCUGGACAGACAAGGGGAAGCGUCCCAGCAACAGGAAGAGGCACACCUCACGCUGUUCCCGUGACCCAAUGCCUGCCACCUACUGACCAUCUCUUGGUCCUCGUAGUCUAGUUUACCAAGCUCUUCCCUCCCACGGGCCUUCCCAGGUCCCUCCCUCAAAACGAAAAGCUCCUUCCUUGUCUUCCACAGCGUGGUACCUGUGCCCUUUCAUGGCAUGGACUUCCUUCCAUCUUCAAUUAAGGUUGCUCACAUGUCUCUUUGCCCAACGGGCACCCUCUUAAGGGCAGGGGCUGUAUCUUAUUCACUUUUGUAUCCCCACCAAUGGCCCACAAAGCUCCUCACACAAAUUCAGUAUGUAUUAAAAAAAAUGUGUUUUAAUUGAAGUGAAUGGGAGAUAAAAAGUAGGAUAAAGUGGAGCCAAAUUAUAAAUAGAUAUAUACACCGGAGUUAAUUAAUUCAAUAACUAUUUAUUGAGUCAUACUGUGUGCCAGGCCCUGUUCUGGCCUCUGGGGAUCUAUCCAUGAACAAACCAGGAAACAUCUCUGCCCUGUGAGCUUACACUCUAGAAAAUGGAGGAUCGCAAUAAAUUUACAUAAAUUCAACCAUACUAUUCAGGAAAAAAAAGGAUCCAUAUUUAAAUAGUUUAUUGGUGCUGUAAAAGUCUACUGUUGAUAUGUAGUUUGUAUUAUAUAUUGUACUUACUAUAUUCAUAAACUAUUCAUCCUCAUGUAUCACACUACAGGGAAUCUAAUAUAGAGAACUUUAUUGGCAGUUUAAGAGAUUCUCAAGGAUCAUUUUGAGCAUGCUCGAUUUCAUCCUUAGGCAGUCUUUAGCACAGUCUUUGAAACCUAACCACCUUAUAAGUUGUGACUCUACUGAAACAAAAUGAAAACUCUGAGAUUGUUGGGCAAAGAAGAACCAGUUUAAGUAUUUGAGCAUGAGAAUGCUGACAAUCACGUCUGGUCAGAUUUGUCUGGUAACAGGGAAUGAGAGACAGUACAUUCACAUAACACACAGGUCAAUCAACAGUGGAAUUCACAUCAGGAAUUAGAAGAAAACAGUUCAUGAGCCAUUUCCCAUUCUUUUAAAACUAAAAUAGUAAGAGCUUGAGGUCAUAAAUAUUUAUAAUCAACUCUUGAUUAUAAAAUCUAAACAAAAAAUUGUAACAUACUGGCUUAUUCUAACUAAAGGUUUAUCAUUUUCAUAUAUUUUUCAAAAAGUAUUUAAAAAGAACACCAAGAAACAUCGUUUUUAAAUUUUGCAAAAACUUUACUCUAUAUACAUUAAUUCCAAUCAUUUAAUCCUGAAAGCAAUCUUCACUUGUACAAUGUAAAAAAACUUUUGACAGUAUGUGACUAGAAAUAUCCCAUUACCAUAAAGCUACAAACAGAUUUAUGCUCCUAAGAGCAAAGUUAGGAAAGCAAAAAUAAUAACCACACCAGUGAUAAGCGGCAAGACAGAACUUUUUUGCACUUAGGGCCUGAUUGGCUCUAUUUAAACAAAACCUCUACCAACAGAGGACCAAAAUAACACCUUAUUUGGCAAAAAAAAAAAGAUAAAAAUAUACAUACAGAGGUCUGGAAACAGUGGAGAAUGCCCACUUAAAAAAUUAAACAAUGAAAUUAUUCAUAUUUGUUUUUUAGUUAAUGUGACUUUGCAAAAUAUAUUCAUAUGUCACUUUUCUUCUUUAGUUCGCCUUAUACAAUUCAGGUUGCGCCAUGUUUGUUAAUGUUAUCACACUACUGUAAAUCAAUAUGGUGAACAAUGGGAGUUUGCUGUAAUGAAUCCGAACCAUGAGAGCUAGAUCCAGGAGCCCAAACAACCUUAGUUGCAACUCAUUCCAAGCGGUGAAACAGAUUAUUUAUCUUUGUAAUUUUUACAAGCCGUAGCCAGAUAUCAUGUGUGUAUGUGUGCGUGCAUGUGCACGUGCAAGUAUGCCAGAGCAGUGAGAGAGAGUACAACUCAGAAGGGAGUGACAUAAACAGGCUUACACAAGGACCCAAAAGAUUUGGGCAGCCGACACUGAAUUUCCCCAAAACAAACCUGAAGCUGAGCAAUGGGGGGAAUUCGGGGAUCUGUCAUCACAAUAUAGAAUCAGUGACAGAUUUGGAGAACAAAGACUAAGUAAGGCAGGAUGCCUCAGCCACAACAUUCCCAUGACACUGGAGGACACAAAGCAGUGACAGCCACUCUUCAGGCAGGGAUCAGGGACAGACUCUGCCUGCACUUGGAGGGAUUCCCUGGG